AUGUUAAAGUUUGAAACAAUCUAUUCAAUUAAAAAAAUAUACAGUAAACUUAUUAUGUUUUAAAAAUUAAUAGACAUAUAUAUAUAUAUAUAUUAUAAUAUAUACCAAUUUAUAGCUGAAAAAACUAUUUAUAUAAAAAUAAAUGAAAACAAAAACCCGCACGGUUGUGCGGGUCGAGAUCUAUUUUAUUAUUAUUUGAGAGAUAAGUGUUGUAAUCUCCAAUCAAACAUUAAGGUAAAUUUUGUUUUCACAAUCAAAGAAUUUCUAUGAAUUAUUAAAUUAUCAGUAUGACAAGUUAUAUCACGUUGCAUCAUAUAUCAUACUUUAAUUUCAUGAAUUAAAUGAUAAAUAUGACAGAUUAUGUUUCAUCAGAUCAUUAUGUAGACUUUACCUCUAAUAUAAUGCCUCGGAUUUAUUUCGAGAACUUCGGAUCGACCAUCAGGGAACAUCGACCGUGUCAUUUCCGGUUAUCUACGAUCGGGGGUGUCACAAUGCCUACUGUAAAAUAUGGAGAAUACGAAUCUUGCUAACUACAAAAGGUGAUGGUAGUAUUGUCCACCCCUCAUCAUGAAGACAAUAGCGUAGAAAACGAGCGCUACACUUAAUGACAGUGUCCUACACCCAGCAAUGGUCAAAUAUUCUCCUUAAUUCAUACACCAUACGACCAACAUAAAAAGGGAAGUACCAUUAGGUCUCUGGUCUAGUUUAUUGCUAAAGUUCUGGCAAGCGUCACAAGACUCAGCCACGUAAAGCAUUCCUUGUUUUGGCCAAGGGACUUCAAUGAUGGAGGUGAAAUUGUUUUUUUCAGGAUUAUUUAUGUUGUAAGAAACGGGAAGUUGUAUCAUAAUUAACCGAUUGGUAAAAGUUGGAAACAAAGUUAUGGAAAAUCAAGAACAAAAGGACAACUAACAAAAAUUAGCUUUAAGAUUAAUGUUGGAAGCCAUCAAAAUCACUUUGCCUGAAACUGCACAAGAAGAACACAAUGGAAAGGUGAAAUAGUAAAAAGAUAGCGACAAGAUUCGCCGUCUCCAUUAUAAAUGAGUCCAAAUAAAUAGCAACCAACCAUAUUUGUUUAAAAAUACGUGAAAUAAGAAAAAAAUGUACUAGGUGUGUACCCAAACUCACACGUUUUGCGUCAAAACCUAACUUAAAAUUAGUCUUUGCCCAUACAACGAUUCAAUACUACAUAUACAAGAUCAACAAACCCUCAUAGAAUACAAUAUACAAAAUGAAGAAAAAUCGAAAGAAGCAGAAGACGUAAAAGCAAGUGGGAAUAAUGAUAUAGAAUCAGAGAAAAUAACUCACAAAAUUAGGUUUCAUGUGCACGAGAGAAUCCGUCAAGAUAUAUAAGAGUAUGAGGAGCUCGAAUAUGAGGGCAAAUAGAUCAUCUGCUCUGUCUUCAAUGUUGAGAAAAUCCACAAACUAAACGUGAAGAAAACUAAAAAAAAAUAGAGAGAGAACUCUACUGAAACAAAUAUUAGUUUCUAGAGUUUAUAUAUUGAUUGUAUGAAUAAAUAAUUUAUAAAUUUUAUACUUUUUUAUUAGCUUCAAAAUCUUGAUUUAUUUAUAGAUUUAUAAACCUAAAUUUUCAAUAAAAUUUUAAUAAUAAAAACUAGAUUUAAGGUAAAACUGAAUUACACUAAAUCUAAAAUCUAGUAAGAUAAUGUUUGAUGAAAACAGUUUUUUUGGGGGGGGGGGGGGGGGGGGGGGGGGGGUGAGAAUGGAUGAGUUAAAAAGAAACAAAUUCUCUUGAUCGAGUCCAAUUUCAUUGGCGGAAGUUGACAAAGAUGAUGAUGAAUCCAGGACAGUGGCAAGUGAUCCAAUUUUCCAAAUUGUAAAAAAAAGAAGUUGAUCACGCAAGAAACUCGCAAAUCCAGAGAUGACUCAGUUAUAGUAAAACUUAGAAAUCCAGAAAGAUGAAAUUUUCAAGGUUCUGAAGCCUAAUUCUCUAAAGGUGUGAUUAUCUUUCCAGCCAUGACAUUCCACCAAAUACUAAAGAUAUAAAUCAUCGAUCGAUCAUACAACAAAACAGAUAUAUGAUAUGAGAUAAGAAAGCAAGGUAGUAUGGCGGUCAGACUGAACUAAAAAACAAGGUGAGUAUUGUGCAUGGUUAACUCCACUACAGCCGAAGGAUAAGACAACAAAGGUGGAUUCUAGCCUACGUUGCGAACCCGAAAAAUUUAUGGUAGCAUCUUUUGUCGCUCAGCCAUAUAGCAAUGGCGAAGUAAACAAGUGCUAAACUAAAAGACAGUUUCUUACAUCCUUCAAUCUUCAAAUAAUCUCCUUUUGUAAACCAUAUAGAACCUUACGGCAUACUGAUUUUACUCAGAACUUAAAUCUCUUCCAGAGAAUAGUCCAUCACAAUUUCUUCAUUUUAUAUUAUGUCAUCGAAGAUUUUUACAAUGUUAACCACCGUAAUAUUAAUGCUUUUUUCUUAUGCCGUGAUUACUGGCCACGUCAGAGUGUAUGUAAUUGUUCGUAUAAGUCAUGCUGAUUAUUAAGUUCAAUAAAAGCUUAAUUUGUAUUUUUUUUUUCCGCGAAUGAUUGUAUUGAUUCAAAACUUGUAUAAUAAUUUGUUUCCUAACUAACUGCAUGUGCAACAUCAUCACUUUCUCCUCUCAAUUCGUACUAUCAUUAUUUUCCAGCAUUUUUAUGAUUGUUCUUAUAUACCUUGAAUUCAACAUUUUAUUAUAUUUAUCCUUUUCAAUUAUUCACUGAUCACAGAUUUGGUUACUUACCACCCAACAUCUCACAUGUUGGUUUUAUCUAUCUUCUAUCCCAUUUCUCACAUGCUUUAAACCUUUUCAUGCACAAUUAUAUGGAAAUAGAAAAAUUAAAGUAGCACUUUUGGAAAACAAACAAACAAUCCAACAAUAUUUGCUUAACAAAAAUAUACAUAUAUAUGAUUUCAUUUACAUACGAAGUAAAAAAAUUUAAAAUAGGUUUAAAUACUUGUGAUCACAUAUGUACGUACUGAGUAUAAAUAAAAAAUUUAAACUCAAUUUACAUUUUAAAAACAGCUAUAUUUUUAGCAUUUGACAAAUUAAGUUGGACUUUGCUGAUACUGGACAUACACGGAUUUUCUGUUCAAUAAUUUACGAACGAGUUACCUCUAUUUUGAUUAAAGAAAAAACAAUAAUCCAGGUCGAAGUCUAGAAUAUAAAGUCAUCUCCAACAAGACACCAAAACAUCAAAUUUGAUGUCUAACAAGACACUUAAUUUGAUAAUAUCCCACCAAAUUUGUUGGUGUAAUGUAAAUAGUAUUACGUCAAAUUUGGUGUAACAUUAUUCAUCACAUCAAAUCUUUAAAACGUAUAUUUGAUUAUGUUUCAUUUAAUAAUAUAGUUCAGUUACUAUCCAAUUUAUAAUCAAAAUAUUAAUAUAUUUGUAUUUUACAUUUAUUUUUACAUAAUUAAAAUACUAAAUUUUUAAUUUUUAUUUUUAUUUUCAAAAUAAAUCACUAAAUGACUAGUAUCAUUCAUCAUUUACAAGUAAGAAAAAUAUAAAUAAUAAUAUAAAUGUGAUAAAAUAAUUAUUUAUCAAUUACAAAUAAUAAAAAGUAUUAAAAAAAAUUAAAACAUCAAAUAAUAUAUAACUUUUGGUGUAAAAUUUAGUGUUAUUGUUGGAGAUGACAAAAUUAUUAUAACACUAAAACACUAAAUUUAAUGUAAUUUUAACAUUAAAUUUGGUGUCAUUGUUGAAGAUGCUCUAAGGCCACCAAGUCACCAACGCAGGCUUCAAUGUUACAAAAAAUAAUUAAACGGUUCAGUAGAAUAAGAGCUGUCUCUAGAAUCUAGAUGCAUAUGAUAAUCCAAUAUUUUAUAUCUGUAAAACGUACCUGCAUCUACUUACUGUUAUUAAACCAGCUUUUUGGUGAGAUUCGACCUAAAAAAACCUAAAUUACGAUUUCAUGAUACAUCAUUUUUAAAUAAAAUAUGUUUAGUGUAGCAAAAAAAAAUUGUUUAAGGAAUCACAUGCUGAAACCAGACUGGAGCUGGCACAGUGGAACGUUACCUGAUUUCCAUAGCCCACACUAAAAGUUUAAAAUAAUGGUUAAGAUUACUUCCAGGAAUUAUUUACCAAGUGAUUUGUAUGUAUAUCAUUACUACAAUCACUAUUAAACUUUCAAAAUGAACAAAUUAAUAACAAAAUCUUCUAGAGAUUAUUUACAAAGUGAUUUGUACAUGUGUCAUCACUACAAUCACUCUUAAAAUAAAUGAUCACAUGUCUAACAAAAAAUGUGACAUAGAUCUUUCUUAAUUAUACUGUUGUGCUUUUUCAAGCCAAUGUCCAACUCUGCAUUGUCCGAUUAGUACAAUAUUGUCCACUUUGGACCCGGAGACAAAGCCCGCAUGGAUUUGGUUUUGGGCUCAUUCCCAAAAGGCAUUGUACUAAUCAGAGUUGGACAUCUCUUUAUAUACUAGACAUUAUUUGUCUAAACUUCCAAUGUGAGAUUGUUUGCAUUCACAACAAACCUCCUCUUAAACCAAGUACCACAUGAACUCUUGGUUUCUAACCUUCAGCGAUACCUAGCACACAUCUUGUAUCUUGCCGUAAUCACCAACAGGACUCUUCACCUAACCCUAGUUACACCAUUAGGAUUUAUCCACCUAAUCCUUACUGCACCAUUAGGACAUUCACCACCUAAUCCUUACAGCACCAUUAGAAAUAUCUACCUAAUCUAUGUAUCGUCGUUAGGGUGAGAUUUUCGUUACAAGUCUUCUGCACUACUUAAUCGCGAAGUCACCUUGAGGAUUCUCCUCCCACAAUUGAAGCUUCCAGGAUCUUUUGACUGGUUUCUGCUACGUACCCUCCCUUUCCAUCGAAGGAAGCACUACUUCGAAUUUGAAAGGUAUCUUGGUCUUUUUGCAGAUUUUCGUCAACCUGCCUCUGAUACCACUUGUUGUGCUUUUUCAAGCCAAUGUCCAACUCUACGUUGUCCGAUUAGUACGAUAUUUACCACUUUGAGCCCGGAGGCAAAGCGCACAUGGAUUUGGUUUUAGGCUCCUUCCCAAAAGGUCUCGUACUAAUCAGAGUUGGACAUCUCUUUAUAUAGUAGACAUUAUUUAUCUAAACUUCCAAUGUGAGACUUUGUUUGCAUUCACAACAUAUACCAUGUCAUAAAAUUAAUUAUCACAUAAUUCAGUUAUAGAAAUGAAAAUAUAAGAUAAUUAGUCUAUAGUCGCUACCAUAGUUAUAAAACAUAAUAAAGAAUUAAAUAUAUAUUUGGUUUAUUAUAAACUUUCAAAAUGAAUAAAUUAAUAAAAAAAUUCUAGAGAUUAUUUACCAAGUGAUUUGUACAUGUAUCAUUACUACAACCACUCUUAAACAAAUAAUGACAUGGCUAACAAAAAAUGUGAUAUAGUCAUAUAGAUCUUUCUUAAUUAUGACAUGUCAUAAAAUUAAUUAUCAAAUAAUUCAGUUAUAGAAAUGAAAAUAUAAGGUAAUCUAUACUAUAUUAAAAGGGUUAUAUGAGCAUCAGAGAGUGUGUCCACGUAGGACAAUUAAAUCGACCAAUAGGAAGUCAGCUUUCCGCCACGUCAGAUACUCACUUAUGUUAUUUGGGUUUCGCGUUUCACCGGCCCGUUAACGUUCAGAAUCGAGAAGCCCGUGAAGCUCAUCAAAAACGAGUGGACUUUUAUAUAUUUGAUCUAUGUUCAUUAAUUUCUUGGGUUUAAUAUGAGUCGGCCCGUUAACAUCAUGUGAAUGUUUUCUGGACAAUAAAAAUUUAUUCUGUCAAUUUCUUUUAGUUCGUGUAUUGUGUUUUUAAUUGCGUAUGAUUUGGUUAUCUAAUAUAUAUAUAUAAGUCCAAUAAAGAAACCAAAUUUGUCUCCAAACCCAUUGCAAGACCUAAUUUUUAACGAUGAUGUGCUGUGUAGCCCAAACAAAACCAAACUCUGCGUUUCAUGUUAUGUCUGAAUAGUCUUCUUCUUCAACGAUCCACCGUCCCCUUCCUCUCAAUUUCCGACCUCCCCUAUGGCCUCAUCUCUGUCUCUUCCUUACCUUCCGUUCAACGUUUACAUCUUAAUCUAUACAAUGAAUCUUCAGUUUACAUUUAAGUCAUUAACUCCCACAAACUCUCCGCCUCCCUCUUUUACAAUCAAAGCAUUAGCUUUGUGCGUAUCUAAUCCGAAAACAUCUCAAACACUAUAAAUAGGAGAGGAUUGAGAGUGGAAUCAAGUUUCACCAACACGCUCUCUCAGUUAUGUUCUCUGAAAAAAACCUGAAAUCCUUCUGAGAAUUAUCUUCGUGUGAUGCUGUUGUUGUCCAAUUAGCCAUCCGCCACUCAACCUUUAAUCACUCUCUUCUCUUUGUUUAAAAAGGUAUUGUCGUCUUACACUAUCAAGCAUCAUAUUUUUCGAUCUCUAUUUUUUUAGAAAGACUUAUGAUUUUACUCUUCCUACAAAAUCGUUGGACCCACAGAUCCAUUCCUGAAUCAGUGUUCGUUUUCCGGAAUCAAAACGCUUCUACAGUUUUUUUUUUAAUUUGUGAAAAUACUUCCACAUAUUAUAAUUUUUAUAUGUGUUGUUUCUUUCAAGCUGAAUAGAAGACAAAAAAAGACGAGAGAGGAUUCAGUACAACAAAUUAUUGCAACUUCUGCCACAUGAUCAGGUAAACAUCAUGAUAUUUCAUGUAUGAUAACUCAGUUCUUUAUAAUUGUGGUAGUCUCUAAAUUUGGAUUACUAUGUCUCUCGCUAUAGUGAAGCAUAACACAUAUCUGAAUUUAUUUCUACGUUUGUUUCAAAGAAAAAAAGCAUUACUCAAAAGUGUAAUGCACGAGAGACAAAAAAGCCAAUAUGGUUUUGGAUUAGUAAGGAAGCUGAUAUACUUGCUCAUUUAGACCCUUCUUGAUGACUGCAGCUGAGAUCUUCCUGUCAUGUGGCGCUCUGCAGAAUAGAAGAGGACAUGGUCGAGGGCUUCCUGAAGUCCCUGAAGAGUAUAUAAACAUGCCUUUUCUCAAGAGAAGAGUGGUGUACAUGAAGGCCAAGAUCAAGGACAAUCCCAACCUUCAGGAUUGUGUUUUCCACAUUGUCGUCGAUGGCUAUAACGCCCCUGUUACUGCCGGGAACUUUGUGGACUUGGCGGAGCGCAAUUUCUACAAUGGCAUGGAGAUCCAGAAAUGUAAGACAUCAAACUUUCCCCACACACAUAUACAUAUAUAUAUAUAUAUAUAUAUAUAUAUAUAUAUAUAUAUUGUAUAUGGGAAAUUUUUGUUAAUCAAUGGAUGAAGAUUUUUUGCAGCUGAUGGGUUUUGUGGUACAAACGAGAGAUCCAGACGGUCAUGCGGAAGGAUUUAUAGAUCCAACCACAGAGAAAGUAAGGACGGUUCCUCUUGAGAUUAUGGUGACUGGGAAGAAAACGCCAUUUUAUGGCUCAACCCUAAAGUAAAAGCUUACACCCUUCUGACAGUAUAUUUAUUCAUAAUAAUAAUAAUAAAUUAUCAUUUGUUAAUUUGGUUGGACAGGAAUUGGGUCUGUACAAUGGCAAUGGCUAGAGAAGUGAGAGUUCUUUCUCUUCCUUCACAUUUGAAUAUAUAUAUAUUCUAAUUAUAUGUAAUGCAAAAAAGGGGUUUGAGAAUGACUCAGAAUCGAGCCAAGUGUUUUGGCUGCUGAAAGAGCGUGAGCUGACGCCAAGCAAUUCUAACACCUUGGACGGUCGUUACGAUGUCUUCGGCGGCUACGUUACUCAAAAUGAAGAUUUUCUGGCUGAUCUUAAAGUCGAUGAUGUCACUGAGUUCAUUCAAGUUGUCUCCGGUUGAGAAGGAAUAUGUUCUUGCACAAGAGAAAACAGAAAAGCAACAUGGUACUGCUUUAUUUGUAUUAGAUAUAUAUUUCAGACAGUGUUAAAUUACAUUCGACAUCCAGUUUCGUGUUCUUCCCAUAGACAUCAUUCUCAGAGAUCCUACUACAUUCGAAACAUUUUUUCUUAUUAUUAUGGCUAGCACAUCUACCAUUAUUGCUGCUCUCAAGUAUGGACGCUGCUCAUCCACCGUGGAGGUGGAGGUGCGGCUUCUCCUGUUUUGGGAAGCCAGAAACAUUAAACGUGGUGGCCACCUCAUGGGAGUAGAUAUGCUUCUUCUGGAUUCUAAGGCGAUGCUCAUACCCGCCACCAUCAACGUGAACCGUCUUCCCACCUACCGGGGACACUUGAAGGUAGAUACCCGCUACAAGAUCGUUUAGGGUACUGUUAUACGAGCUGCAAAUCCAGCACAAACCUCGAGUUCAGAAGAUUCCUCACAAGAGCUAUCAAGUCCAGAAGAUUCCACUGAGUCGCAAGAUCUACCAAGUACGCCUUUGACAUCAGAAAAUAGUCUUGAGAAAGCAGAGUCUGCAGCAAAAGCUCUUGCAGUGGCUGAUUCCAAAGUGUUCGAAGCCAAAGAGGCGUCCCAAGUUGCAGAUACGGCCCCAAAGAAGUCUCUGACCGAUGUAAUGUCCACAUACUCGACCACAUUAAUUAUCCUAAAUUGAUCAUCACUCAGCUCUUUUUUGAUUCGUUCCUUGCAGGUGCUAAAAGGCGAAAAUGUUGAACUACGGUAGAGCUUUAUACCUUGUGGUCCGGUUCAAUGUAGAUGUAAAGGACUGUUUUUUAAUAGGUUUUGGCUUUGAGAACAAAAAUAAAGAGUACAUGUAUAUGAGAUUUCAUUGACUAUUGACGUUGUCACUUUUUGGUUAGUUUUUGAUGUUAAGUACGGUUCUGGAUGUUAAUAGAUGUUUUUGCAAGUCAUACUGAGAAUUGUUAAUGCAUGAUUGUGUUUAUAUUUGAUUACAUUUGGUUCAAGUUGAAAGUUAUUAUUUGUGCAUGGUUGAUCAAUUGCAAUAAAGGAUACAAGGUACACCAAAUAUUUGAAUGGCAUAUAGAGUUUAGGUGGAUGCUCCACGUUGGAAGAGGAACCCGUUGUCGCUUCCACCUCCCAUUUAAACUUUUUGUAGUUGGCCACAAGAGUAAAAAGCCAUAGUGUAUAUUUUAAUUGUAAACUUUAUUUUAAAUAAAUUUUUUGAUAUAAACAUAUUUUUUAAAUUAUUAAAUUAAUAAAUUAAUUAUAUAUCUUUUUAAUUUUAUAUGUUAAUAUAUUUAUAUAUAUAUUAGAAAUAUAUUCAUUAAAAAUAAAUAUAUUAUAUAUUAUAUACUAAUUUUUAUAAUAAUUUUAAAUAGAAAACUCACACUGCUCUACUAAUCAUCCUAUUAAACAGUUUAGCCAAAACAUACGGCUUCUGCAACAUAUAAUAGAAAUACUUACUUCAAACUAAAAAUAUUAAAAAAAUCAAAUUUAAAAAUUAGUUAUAUAUAAUUUAAUAUACAAAAAUUCACAUAUAAAUAAAAAUGAUAAAUUUAAUAAAUUUAAAUAUAUUAUCCGCGCGUAGCGCGGAAAAAGGAUCUAGUAAAUAUUAAAGUCACUACCAUAGUUAUAAAACAUUAAAAAAAGAAUUUAAAUAUUAGAUUUGAUUUAUUAUAAACUUUCAGAAUGAAAUAUUCAUUUCUUUGUUGGAAUUUUAUAUAUUUUCAAUGUUUCAAAUGAAAAAUGUAAAUGGUACGAAUGUAUUUAUUUAUUAUAAGUUUUAUGAAUAAAUUAUUUUAUAUACCGUUCAUGUUUAUUAUUUUGUGAAAUAUAAUGUAUACAUGGUAAUAAUUUAUGUUUAAAAUAUAAAAUAAUAAAAUAUAGAAAACAUAUGUAGAUAUUUUUUUCUAGUAUUUUUUAUUCUCUAAAUGAAACUUAUAUGCAAAUUACUUAUGUUUUAUAUCUAUAAAAUUUUAUAUACUUUUACAAAUUUGUUUUUAAAAUAAAUGAUAUUGCUUUAAAUAAUUAUAUCAUUCGUUUUAAAUAAUAUUAUAUAUAUAUAUAUAUAUAUAUAUAUUUUUUCUUUAUUUACCAAUUGAUUGUUUAAGUUUGAAAUUACUAUAAAAAUAAAAUGAUGUCAUAAAUUAUUUUUAAAAUGUGAUAUAUAUGUUGAUCAUUAUAAUACAACAAUAAACAUUUGUAUAAAACUAUUAUUUCAGAAAAACAAAAUAAAAUUUAUUCAUUUAAACCAAAUGCCAAUGUAGAUUAAAAUUUUUAUAAAGUAAACAGAAUCUCAAUUACAAUUGACUAUUUUAUAUUUUAAAAUUGAAUAAAAUUGAAUUAAAUAAAAAUUAUUGUAAUAAUGUUUUUUUUGUUAAGUUAUCAUAUUUUUGCAUGGCGCAUGUUGGCGCUUGAAAGUAUCUAGUUUGUUAUUAUUAUAACUUCUUCUUUUUUUUAUUAUUACCAUAACGGGCUUCUCUUCUAAAAGCUUAAUGUGUAAAUCUCUAUUUUUAAUUGCUUGAUAAAGGUGUUUUUCUAAAAAAAAAUGAUCCAUAUCCAUUAAUGUAACAUGAAUAUUUUAGCUGGUUUUAAAAGAAAAACCCUCGAAAAUAUUAUUUUGUUAAUAUCUAGCUAUCAACUUGGUGUCAUUAUGUGAUAUUCUACACUUAUCUACUUGUCAGUCCUCUACUAUCAAAAAAACGAAACCGGAGAACGAAGUGGAAUCCAUCCACGUUGACUUUAAAAUUUCUUUGUAUAGGGAUAAGAACUGACUUCUAUGGACAACACUUGGUAACAAGUCAACUUAUAACUUACAUGUGUGUCAGUCUAGAGAGAUUUUGUGUUUUGAGAUCCCUCCAAAUUUAAUCACAUGUUUGCAUGCCUUUUGCAAGUACAAUCGAAUUGCAUCUACUUUAAAGUCUGAAAUAAGUAAGUAGUAACAAUAUGUAAAUGAUAGAACACAAGAUCAAAAUUUAUUCCUAAGUAUGCAGAUUACGAAGAAAAACGUAAAUUAUGCAGAUUAUGGACAAAAAAAUAUUACAAAAGAUUUUAAGUAUGGUGCAUGACGUAUCAUCGAACAUAGAUCUUUUAGGACAGUUCAGAAUGAUACAAUCAGACGUGCAUUCUCAUAUGAUGAUAGAAGUAUCAGUUGUAGAAUCAUUCAUGUAAUAUUUCUCAUCGUUGUAAUAGCAUAAUUAAUCAGACGUUAAAUUUUUUUUUUACUCCUAAGUAUUUACAUUUUACCUAUACACCAUAGAUGUGAAAUAUGGUCUUAAUGGUAAUAAACUAAUGAAAGAAACUUAUAUCUAAUUUUCUUCGAACUUGCCUGCCAGCACAACUUAUUUCAAAACGAGAAGUGUUCACAUUCGAUAUAUAUUCUUUCCUUUUUGUUUUAUAUGUCAUUUAAAGUUCUUUCACCUAGAUCAUGAUUAAAGCACAAGUCACCUCAUCAAUCAAAUUCUGAUUGAUGAUUGUUUACAUUAGUUUUUGGUUUUUAGAUUUUGGUUUUAGAUUUUUAACUUUUAGAUUUUAGUUUUUGAUUUCAAGCUUUUGAUUUUAGUUUUCAGUAUUUAGAUUUUAGUUUAGUUGUAUUCUUAGUUUCUUUUAUAAAAUAAGCAAUACAUUGUUUUAAAAUAAUAAAAUACAUAAUAAAUUUUUUUAUAAAAUACAUAAUAAUAAUUUUUAAAAAAAAUUACCAUUGAAAUUUAUCAAAAUAUAGUGGUUGUUAUUUAAAAUAAAAACAGUACCAUGUUUUAAAUUAGUUUAUUUUAAGUAUUAUACUAAAAUAUAAUUAGGAAAAUAUCUAUAAAUUAUAAAAAAUAUAAAUAUUUUAAAAUUUAGAAAUUAUUUAUAAAUUUUAUUACAUAAAAACAUUUUUUCGUUUUUUAGAAAUUGAAUGGCUAUUUUUCAAACUAAUGUAAUAUAUUGUAUUAAUAAAACAUUUUACGUUUUAUAAUUUCUACUUGAUUAGUGUGUAUAAUAAUUAUUAAAAUUAUUCAAUAAUUUCAUUUAUAGAAAUUAAUAACUAAUUGGUUACAAUUAAUAAUAAAAUUAUCUAUAUUUAUUUACAGAUAUGAAACACAAAUAAAUUAUUUUACAUUAAUGUUCAAAUGAUAAAUAAAAUUGUAUGGGAGUUUUAUCUUUAUGAAAAUAUUAUUUAUUUAAUCAUUAAUUAACUAAAAUAUAGUAUUUUAUACAAAAUAAACAAAAUUCGCUUUUAUAUAGAAAACUCACAAAAGUUGGUUUUUGGCUUUUCUUUACAAAUUGAUUGAAAUUUUGAAAAACUAGUUUCCUUAAAUUUUAGGGAAUCUAUUUGUUAAAAAACUUGAUUGGCAAGUGAAAUGGUUUUUACAAAAACAAAAACUUAAAACUUAAACUUGAGUAAAUAAAAAAUUGUUUUUACAAAAAC